UUUUUUCCUUCUCACUUUCUUCUUUGAUACCAAACUUCAUCUUUCAUAUCUUUCAGUUUGUUUUUCCACUAAUUACUAUCCUUGAUAUCUUGUUCUUGUGCUUCACUUUGUUUGGGAGAUCUUUCAAGUUUUUCACUUUGUUUGUUCCACUCACUUUCAAAUCUCAGUUUGUGUUUUUGUGACAAAGAUCUCAGUUUGUUUCUUCUCACACUUUCAGAUACUCUCUUACUUUCUUAACAACAGUUAAUCUUUUAAAUCAUAUCUCAGUUUGUGUUUUUCCGACAAAGAUCUCCGAUUAUUUGUUCUUACACUUUCAGAGAGUUUUUUUAAGACUCAAUAUAUCAUGGCAGAGUUGGUAGCUGGGGCAUUUCUUCAGUCUUCCUUUCAAGUGAUUUUUGAGAAGUUGGCGUCUGUUCAUAUUAGAGACUACUUCAGUAGUGACAAUGUUGAUGCCCUUGCGAAAGAACUUGAUCAUAAACUCAAUUCUAUCAACCAUGUGCUUGAAGAAGCAGAGCUGAAGCAGUACCAAAACAAAUAUGUGAAGAAGUGGCUUGAUGAACUUAAACAUGUUGUUUAUGAAGCAGACCAACUAUUAGAUGAGAUUUCUACUGAUGCAAUGAUAUAUAAGUUGAAAGCUGAAUCUGAACCACUUACCACCAAUUUAUUUGGCUGGGUUUCAGCUUUAACUGGAAAUCCAUUUGAAUCUAGGCUCAAUAAACUACUGGAGACACUAGAAUCUCUUGCACAACAAACGAAAAGGCUGGGAUUGGAAGUUGGUCCUUGUGCUAGUAAUGAAGGCUUAGUCAGUUGGAAACCUUCAAAACGAUUGUCAUCUACAUCUCUUGUGGAUGAGUCAAGCUUAUGUGGUAGAGAUGUUCAUAAGGAAAAACUAGUGAAACUUUUACUUGCAGACAAUACCAGUGGUAACCAGGUUCCAAUAAUCAGCAUAGUGGGUUUAGGAGGAAUGGGUAAAACCACCCUUGCUCAACAUGUCUACAAUGACAACAUGACAAAGAAGCAUUUUGAACUUAAAGCAUGGGUCUAUGUUUCAGAAUCUUUUGAUGAUGUUGGACUCACCAAAGCAAUUCUCAAGUCAUUUAAUCCUUCAGCAGAUGGUGAAUACUUGGAUCAACUCCAACAUCAACUCCAACACCUGCUAAUGGCAAAGAAAUACUUGCUUGUUUUAGAUGAUAUCUGGAAUGGGAAGGUAGAAUACUGGGAUAAGUUACUACUUCCGCUUAACCAUGGAUCUUCUGGAAGUAAGAUUAUCGUGACAACACGUGAAAAGAAGGUAGCAGAUCAUGUCCUGAACUCCACCGAGUUAAUUCAUUUACAUCAAUUGGACAAAAGCAAUUGUUGGAGUUUAUUUGAGACACAUGCUUUUCAAGGCAUGCGUGUGUGUGACUAUCCAAAACUUGAAACGAUUGGCAUGAAAAUAGUGGACAAGUGUGGUGGGUUGCCUUUAGCUAUAAAAUCAUUGGGCCAACUUUUGCGAAAAAAGUUUUCUCAAGAUGAAUGGAUGGAGAUAUUGGAGACUGAUAUGUGGCGUUUAUCAGACAGAGACCACACCAUUAACUCAGUAUUGAGAUUGAGUUACCAUAAUCUCCCUUCCAAUCUAAAGCGUUGUUUUGCAUAUUGUUCUAUUUUUCCCAAGGGUUAUAAAUUUAAAAAAGAUAAAUUGAUCAAGCUUUGGAUGGCAGAAGGUUUGUUGAAGUGUUACGGAUUGGACAAAAGUGAAGAAGAUUUUGGUAAUGAAAUUUUCGGUGAUCUUGAGUCAAUUUCAUUUUUCCAAAAAUCGUUUUAUGAAAUAAAAGGUACUACUUAUGAGGACUAUGUCAUGCAUGAUCUUGUCAAUGAUUUAGCAAAAUCAGUGUCAAGAGAAUUUUGUAUGCAAAUAGAGGGUGUUAGGGUGGAAGGUCUCGUUGAAAGGACACGUCAUAUUCAGUGCUCUUUUCAAUUACAUUGUGAUGAUGAUUUACUAGAGCAAAUUUGUGAGCUUAAGGGACUACGAAGUCUGAUGAUACGACGAGGCAUGUGUAUUACCAACAACAUGCAACAUGAUCUAUUUUCAAGACUAAAAUGUUUGCGGAUGCUAACAUUUAGUGGUUGCCUUCUCUCAGAGCUUGUGGAUGAGAUAAGCAAUUUAAAACUUUUGCGUUAUCUAGACCUUUCUUACAAUAAGAUUGCAAGCUUACCUGAUACCAUUUGUAUGCUGUAUAAUUUACAAACACUCUUGUUAAAAGGCUGCCAUCAAUUGACUGAGCUCCCUUCAAAUUUUUCCAAACUCAUCAAUUUACGUCAUCUUGAGCUCCCUUGUAUAAAGAAAAUGCCAAAGAAUAUGGGAAAGCUAAGUAAUCUUCAGACCCUGUCAUAUUUUAUUGUGGAAGCCCAUAAUGAAUCUGAUCUCAAAGAUUUGGCAAAACUCAACCAUCUUCAUGGAACAAUUCAUAUUAAAGGGUUGGGUAAUGUUAGUGAUACUGCAGAUGCUGCCACAUUAAAUUUGAAAGAUAUAGAAGAAUUACAUACAGAGUUCAAUGGCGGAAGAGAAGAAAUGGCUGAAAGCAACCUGUUAGUCUUGGAGGCUAUACAAUCAAAUAGCAACUUGAAGAAGCUCAACAUCACACGCUACAAAGGUAGUAGAUUUCCAAAUUGGCGUGAUUGUCAUUUACCCAACUUAGUAUCUCUUCAACUGAAGGAUUGUAGAUGUUCCUGUUUGCCAACACUUGGACAACUCCCUUCUCUCAAGAAACUUUCCAUUUAUGACUGUGAAGGAAUAAAGAUCAUUGAUGAAGAUUUUUAUGGCAAUAAUUCAACAAUUGUUCCAUUCAAGUCCCUUCAAUAUUUGAGAUUUCAGGAUAUGGUCAACUGGGAGGAAUGGAUAUGUGUAAGGUUUCCUCUGCUUAAAGAGCUUUAUAUAAAAAAUUGUCCUAAAUUGAAAAGCACCCUGCCUCAACACCUUUCUUCUUUACAAAAAUUGAAGAUCAGUGAUUGCAACGAGUUGGAGGAAUUGUUAUGCCUUGGAGAGUUUCCUUUGCUUAAAGAGAUUUCUAUAUCCUUUUGUCCCGAAUUGAAAAGGGCUCUGCAUCAACACCUUCCUUCUUUACAAAAACUGGAGAUUCGGAAUUGCAACAAGUUGGAGGAAUUGUUAUGCCUUGGAGAGUUUCCUUUGCUUAAAGAGAUUUCUAUAAGAAAUUGUCCCGAAUUGAAAAGGGCUCUGCCUCAACACCUUCCUUCUUUACAAAAACUGGAUGUAUUUGAUUGCAACGAGUUGGAGGAAUUGUUAUGCCUUGGAGAGUUUCCUUUGCUUAAAGAGAUUUCUAUAAGAAAUUGUCCCGAAUUGAAAAGGGCUCUGCAUCAACACCUUCCUUCUUUACAAAAACUGGAGAUUCGGAAUUGCAACAAGUUGGAGGAAUUGUUAUGCCUUGGAGAGUUUCCUUUGCUUAAAGAGAUUUCUAUAAGAAAUUGUCCCGAAUUGAAAAGGGCUCUGCAUCAACACCUUCCUUCUUUACAAAAUCUGGAGAUUCGGAAUUGCAACAAGUUGGAGGAAUUGUUAUGCCUUGGAGAGUUUCCUUUGCUUAAAGAGAUUUCUAUAAGAAAUUGUCCCGAAUUGAAAAGGGCUCUGCCUCAACACCUUCCUUCUUUACAAAAACUGGAUGUAUUUGAUUGCAACGAGUUGCAGGAAUUGUUAUGCCUUGGAGAGUUUCCUUUGCUUAAAGAGAUUUCUAUAUCCUUUUGUCCCGAAUUGAAAAGGGCUCUGCAUCAACACCUUCCUUCUUUACAAAAACUGGAGAUUCGGAAUUGCAACAAGUUGGAGGAAUUGUUAUGCCUUGGAGAGUUUCCUUUGCUUAAAGAGAUUUCUAUAAGAAAUUGUCCCGAAUUGAAAAGGGCUCUGCCUCAACACCUUCCUUCUUUACAAAAACUGGAUGUAUUUGAUUGCAACGAGUUGCAGGAAUUGUUAUGCCUUGGAGAGUUUCCUUUGCUUAAAGAGAUUUCUAUAUCCUUUUGUCCCGAAUUGAAAAGGGCUCUGCAUCAACACCUUCCUUCUUUACAAAAACUGGAGAUUCGGAAUUGCAACAAGUUGGAGGAAUUGUUAUGCCUUGGAGAGUUUCCUUUGCUUAAAGAGAUUUCUAUAAGAAAUUGUCCCGAAUUGAAAAGGGCUCUGCCUCAACACCUUCCUUCUUUACAAAAACUGGAUGUAUUUGAUUGCAACGAGUUGGAGGAAUUGUUAUGCCUUGGAGAGUUUCCUUUGCUUAAAGAGAUUUCUAUAAGAAAUUGUCCCGAAUUGAAAAGGGCUCUGCCUCAACACCUUCCUUCUUUACAAAAACUGAAGAUUAGUAAUUGCAACAAGAUGGAGGCAUCAAUUCCCAAGUGUGAUAAUAUGAUAGAGUUAGAUAUACAGAGUUGUGAUAGAAUUUUGGUAAAUGAAUUGCCGACUAGCCUGAAAAAGUUACUCCUUUGGCAAAAUCGGAACACGGAGUUCUCCGUGGACCAAAAUUUAAUCAAUUUUCCCUUUCUUGAAGACUUGAAGUUGGAUUUCAGAGGCUGUGUAAACUGUCCCUCUUUGGAUUUACGUUGCUAUAAUUUUCUUCGUGAUCUUUCAAUAAAAGGCUGGUGCUCCUCCUCCUUGCCUUUGGAACUACACUUGUUCACCAGUCUUCGUUCUCUGCGUCUGUACGAUUGUCCAGAGCUGGAAUCGUUUCCAAUGGGUGGUUUGCCUUCCAACUUGAGGGACCUUGGAAUAUACAAUUGCCCAAGACUGAUUGGUUCGAGAGAGGAGUGGGGGUUGUUCCAACUCAAUUCCUUGAGAUAUUUCUUUGUUAGUGAUGAGUUUGAAAACGUGGAGUCGUUCCCAGAGGAGAAUCUGCUGCCACCAACUCUGGACACUCUUGAUUUAUAUGAUUGUUCAAAGCUAAGAAUAAUGAACAACAAGGGUUUUCUCCACCUCAAAUCUCUCAAAUAUCUAUAUAUUGAAGACUGUCCUAGUCUUGAGAGCUUGCCAGAGAAGGAGGAUCUACCCAACUCCCUUACUACUUUGUGGAUUGAAGGUAAUUGUGGAAUAAUAAAGGAGAAGUAUGAAAAGGAGGGAGGAGAGCUUUGGCAUACAAUUAGUCACAUCCCUUGUGUGUAUAUUGACUAGCCAACUCUCUUGAGCAUUUGACCAUUAAGAAUUGUGGAAUAAUAAAGGAGAAGUAUGAAAAGGAGGGAGGAGAGCGUUGGCAUACAAUUACUCACAUCCCGAAUGUGUGGAUAUCUGAAUUCAAUUAGGCAGGAAUGAAGGUUAAUUGCACCGCCACAUAGUGCUAGCAAGACCAAGUUAUGGGUCCCACAUACUUUGACUCUUUGUGAAUAUCUGAAUUCAGGUGAACAAAUUUCCCACACACAAGGGUUAUUACGCUGAAUUAAGGACAAGAGGGAUUCUUCAUUUAGAAUAGUUUGAAGAGUGGUGGGAAUUUGUUUUUGUAUGAUUUGGGACAAUAUGAGUGAGGGUAGUUUCGGAAAUGAUGAUUGUGUUAGAGAACAAACUCAAUUGGAGUGUGGUGAUUCAAUCUUUGCUCUGAAUUAUCUUUUUAGUUCCCAACAUAUCUUCUUCCUCUUCAGUUCUGCAUCAAGGGCUGAAGGAUGCCAGGGAGUUGAUCUUGCACAUUCAAAGGCAUAACAUGUUACCUUUCAAAGAUAUUACUUACAAUGUACAUGGUUUAGAUAGAUAAGGCAUUGUUCUUGCUAUAAAAAAGAGGUAGCAGGGCACACAAUUUCGCAACAAAGAAAUUUUGGUUUUUGUUUCUUUCAUCCAAAGAUGAUUUAGACUCGACGUAGAGCCUCGUGAUCAUGUGUGGGCAAGGGAAGAGGCUGACAUUGUUUGAAUUCCAUCCAUUCCAAUUUGUUCAUGGAAACAUGAGACUUGAGAAAAGAAGCCGAUGAAUUAAUUGCAUCAACCAAUUACAUGGGAAUUUUGGUGGAUUCAAUGACAUCCAACUUGAGAAAAAACCACUGUCCUCAUGGUGGAUGAGAGCUUCCAUGGUGUUUGGAACAACCAAUGACUCUUCCAAUGAUUUUUACUAAGACUGGACUGCAUUUUAUAUGCUGCCAAAUGUAACACAGAACCAUUCUGCAAUGCACCACUCCAAGGAAAUUAGGAGCAUCAGUACAAAGUUAACCAACUCCAAGUGGAAUAAACAUGUGUUUCAGACGAAGAAUAUCAUUGUUGAGAUGUGAUGUCAAGACUCAGGCAUCGACUUCAACAUCUUACUCUUUGUAUGUCCUUCCUAGUUCAUACACCGGAAGUUGACUUGUCAAUUUAGUGAAAUUCAAUAAAACACUACUUUUCAUUGCAGUACUUCUGAUUGUAAUUCAUUACUUUUUCUCAGUUUGUGAAUAAGUUUAUCUUUCUGCAUCAUUA